AACGAACGCUGGCGGCACGCCUAACACAUGCAAGUCGAACGAGACCUUCGGGUCUAGUGGCGCACGGGUGCGUAACGCGUGGGAACCUGCCCUUAGGUUCGGAAUAACUCCCCGAAAGGGGUGCUAAUACCGGAUAAUGUCUUCGGACCAAAGAUUUAUCGCCUUUGGAUGGGCCCGCGUUGGAUUAGCUAGUUGGUAGGGUAAAAGCCUACCAAGGCGACGAUCCAUAGCUGGUCUGAGAGGAUGAUCAGCCACGCUGGGACUGAGACACGGCCCAGACUCCUACGGGAGGCAGCAGUGGGGAAUAUUGGACAAUGGGCGAAAGCCUGAUCCAGCAAUGCCGCGUGAGUGAUGAAGGCCUUAGGGUUGUAAAGCUCUUUUACCCGGGAUGAUAAUGACAGUACCGGGAGAAUAAGCUCCGGCUAACUCCGUG
rnacentral:rRNA from 1 species